CCGCACUUGCUCACCAGACAAGCCCUGUUCUUUCCCUACAUCAACGUCAGCCAGGAGCGAGCGGUAUGUCUCCGGCAGAAAUCAUCUCUCUCUCCUUCAAAAUUUGUUGACUAAAUAUUCUGAUUUGCAAUUUUCCCCUUCAGAAUUUCGGGUGAACUUUUUCCCUUUAGGUUUCAGCCUAUUUAGAUCUAGAGGUAUGAUGUAGAGCAAAUGCUUCUAGGAUUCAUCUCCCUGCUGGGUGAACUUUUUCCCUUUAGGUUUCAGUCUAUCUAGAUCUAGAGGUAUGAUACAUGAGCUGUUGGUCCUGCUAGCUUCAGCUUUUCAGAAAGAUAUAAACUGAUAAAUCAACAGAAGCUUGAGUAGAUAAUUUGGAUUUCAUAAUCUGCCAUGGCCGAAAAUCAGCACGGUGGCCCAUUCAAUUCUUUGCCACGGCAAUGAAGUUACACAAUCUGUAAAUAACUUUGUGCACUUUAUAUCAGCAGUAUUUUUUACAUGAGCUGUGAUUCCAACUACAGUUUCAGCCUUCAUCCAGCAAAGCUGAUGAAUUAAUAGCUCGAGCUCUAGGACAUCUAUUCCUCUGUUCUGGGGUGGUCCAAAGGACAUGUAUUCCUCUAUUUUAAAAUUUUAUAACUAAAUCAACCCUACACCAAGAGACAAGAUGAGUUUAUAGUAAGUAAAUUAUGAGAGGAUCAUGCCUAUAAAUUUCCUUGCAUCCAACUACCCACGAUCAUUACCCUUGUACAAACAUUUUGUGCAAACAGGUCUGUAAAAAAUGUGUACUAUGGAUUUGUAGACCUCUUUAAUGUGGAAUUAUCAGUGAAAUAUUAUCAAAUGGUCAAUGUUCCUUUGUUAGAGCAAAAGAAAAAUCUUUUGAUGAACUGUGUUCACUAUAGUGUGAAGCAGUAUAAUUAUAAUUCUGAACAUAUUUUAGUUUGCUAUACUGUACAUUUUAAUUUGAUGGCCGGGGUAAACCUUUGAUUGAGUUGGUUCUUUUUCUGCAGUGCAGAUGGAUAGACGUUGGAUUCAUGGUACAUUGUUUUCCUGUGAGUACAUCCAAGGUGUCAAAGAAUUUAUGAAAUUCAUUCAAGAGAAAUUCAGUGAGGAUGAUAAAAUAAUCUACCCAUGUAGAAAAUGCCUUAACCAUAACUACCAGCAUCAGACCGUUGCGAACACGCACAUACUGACGUAUGGCAUGGAAAGUACAUAUACUCGCUGGAUAUAUCAUGGAGAAGACUUUGAUGUAGAUGUUAUUGAACAUCCUGUUGAUGUGCAUGACACUGAGGAUGGUGACAAUGGCGCUGACCGGUUUGAAGAGAUGUUGUAAGACCUACGCACUGCAGUAGAACAAGCUCAGAGUGAAACUGAAAAUCAAGAUGCUAACAAUGGUGGAAACCCUUCUGAGAAUGAGUCUUUUUUGAAGAAUGUGAUGAAGGAGGCAAAACGACAGAUUUAUCAUGGUUGUACCAAGUUUUCAAGGUUCUCCUUUGUGGUAAAGCUUCUUCACUUGAAGUCAUACCAUAGGAUCCCGAAUAGUGCAUUUACUGAAAUUUUAAAGCUAUUAGCCGAAGCAUUCCCUGAACCCAAUACACUCCCAAAAUCGUAUAAGGAAGCAAAGAAUCUUCUAAAGGAAUUAGGCCUUGGGUAUGAGUCUAUGCAUGUGUGCUUGAAUAAUUGCAUUCUGUUCAGAAAGCAAUAUGCCAAUCAUGACAACUGCCCAGUUUGGUGACUAUCAAGGUGGAAAGACCCUGCUAGAAAGAAGAUUCCACAGAAAGUGUUGAGGCAUUUUCCGUUGGUGCCUAGGCUAAAGAGGAUGUUUCUUUCCAAAAAAGGUGCAGAAGAAGCACAAUGGCAUGAGCUAAAGAGGCAACCCAAUGAGAAGGAACUGAGUCAUCCAAAAGAUGGUGAUGCAUGGAAAGAUUUUGAUGAAAAAUUUCCAGAAUUUGCAAAAGAUGCUAGAAACUUUAGGCUUGGCAUUGCCACUGAUGGGUUCAAUCCUUUUGGAAAUUUUAACACAACCUAUAGUAUGUGGCCCGUAUUUGUUAUACCAUACAACCUUCCACCUUGGGCAUGCAUGGAUCAGUCAAAUUUUAUGAUGGCUUUGCUGAUUCCUGGUCCCAAAUCACAUGGCAAGCACUUCGAUGUCUUUCUGCAACCACUUGUAGAAGAAUUACUUGAGCUCUGGGAGGGUGUGCGUACAUAUGAUGCUCUUAGUGGAAAAAUGUUUGAUCUUCAUGCUGCAGUUCUAUGGUGCAUUCAUGAUUACCCAGCUCCGAGCACUCUUUCAGGGCGUACCACAAGAGGCUAUUUGCAUGUAUUCAUUGUGACAAACACCCUGUUUCUUACAGCCUAAGGAGUAAAAUUGGGUAUAUUGGUCACUACCGUUUCCUUCCAAGGGGUCAUCGUUUACGAAGAAACAAUGAAUUUGUUGGUCUUCAUGAAAGCAAUGAUGAGCAGGUAAAUUCUCUGAGAAAGAGUUGCAAGCAGAAUUGGAGAAGGUUAGACCUGGGAGACACCAAGAAAGUAGGAAAAGGAAGCGUUCUGACUUGGGCAACAAGAAGUAUCAUGUGCCAAUUUGGGGCCGGAGGGUUUGUUUGUGGGAUUUGAAGUAUUGGGCAAAGUUGAAGCUGAGACACAAUCUUGAUGUCAUGCACAUUGAGAAAAACAUUUGUGAAAACCUCAGUGGGACAAUUCUAAAUCUGGAGGGUAAGACAAAGGACACACUUAAUGCUAGGAUUGAUCCAAAAGAUUUGAAUAUUAAAGAAGAGUUGCAAUUGAGGAAGGAGGGAGACUCAUAUGUGAUGCCUCGGGCCCGAUAUACCUUGUCCAAAGAACAAGUGGUUGCAUUUUGUCAAUUUUUACGAGAGUUAAUGUUUCCAGAUGCUUCCAACAUCUCAAGAUGCACAAGUGCUGAUGGAACCAAGGUACAAGGCCUGAAAACACAUGAUUGUCACAUUCUUUUGCAGAGAAUCUUACCUGCCGGCAUGAGAGAAUUUUUGGACAGUGAUAUAUAUGAAGCAAUAGCUGAGUUAGGCAAGUUUUUCAGAGAACUGUGCAGCAAAACUCUUAAUAGGGAUGUCUUGGCUGAAAUGAAGAAGGAAAUCCCUGUAAUUUUGUGCAAGCUUGAGAAAAUUUUCCCGCCUGCAUUCUUUGAUGUGAUGGUGCACCUUGUCGUACACUUACCAGAAGAGGCAUUGCUUCGAGGUCCCGUACAACAUGGGUGGAUGUACCCGGUUGAAAGAAGGCUAUAUACUUUAAAGCGCUAUGUGAGGAAUAGGGCGCGACCAAAAGGUUCUAUUGCUGAGGCAUAUAUUGCAGAUGAAUGCCUGACAUUUUGCUCCAAGUACAUGGAUGAUGUUGAAACAAUAUUUAAUCGGAAACCAAGAAAUGUAGGUUUUUCAAAUGAAGAAGCCUAUGGUGUUGACGUUUUUGGGCAUGGAGUUAAUUUUACUUCAGGAUAUGAAUAUGAAUAUGUGCAUGAGCAAAAAGAAUUUGACCAGAUGGUGUGGUAUGUGUUGAACAAUUGUGAUCAAGCUAAGAAAUAUAUCAAGUACGUUGUCACUUCUGAAACUUGCAUUGUGUUGUACAUAUGUCACGCGACUAAUUUGUUUUAUUUUACAGUAUGUUCAGAGAUGAGUUAAAGAGGAAACUGUUGCCGGACAGUGAUAAAGAGCUUCAACAAAAAUUUCAGACAUGGUUCAGGAACUAUGUUAGUUUUCAUUAACAUCUAGUUUUAAUUUUUGGUUGUCAAAUUUCAGUGCAGAUUCUAAUGUAUGUGUUUGUGUGUUGUCGCAGAUGAUGAGGCUGCGAGAUGAGGAUGGUGAAGAGGUAGAUGAAGAUCUCUUUGCCUUGGCAUGUGGUCCUGAUCGGAGAGUCCGGAAAUUCUCAUCGUGCAUAGUGAAUGGGAUUAGAUUUAACACUGUUGCCUGUGAUAGCAACAAGAGGACACAGAACAGUGGAGUCAUGACCGAAGGCGAACAUAACCAUAAGGUCAUAGAUUUUUAUGGAACCUUGAAAGAGAUCAUUCAGUUAGAUUAUAACUUGGAUGAUAGGUUAGUUGUUUUGUUUAAAUGUGACUGGUUUAAACUUGAUGGAAAGAAGACUGAACUUAAAAAUGAUGGUUUUUUCAAAAGCAUACAUGUUGGAAGUUGGUGGCACAAGGACGAUUCUUUGAUUUUGGCUACUCAGGCUAGUAAGGUCUUUUAUUUGCCAGACACGAAGUAUGGGAAAAAUUGGCAAGUUGUCCAAACAUUCGACCAUAGGCAUCUGUUCAAUAUUAGUGAAACUGAGGGUGUACCUUUUAGUGCUCCUGCAUAUCAAGCGGACGAGUGUUGUGAAGAGGAGGGUAGGAGAACAUCAGUUUCUGACCUUACAUCCGAGAAGCCUUUGCAUAGAGAUGAUGAGCAAGGCAUUACUUUUGAAGCUGAUGUUGUUGCCCGUUUGAUGAAAGAUAAAACCACAAAAGUGUAUGAAGGUGGCGACGAAGAUGAAGAAGAUGAUAUAGGUUUGGAGUAUUGCAGUGAAAACGAAGGAGGUGCCACAAUGGAUGUCGACAGCGAUGACGAGUAGAUGUUUUAAUGUAGAAGGUACUAUCUCCAUUCUUCUUCCAGUGUACUAUAUUCUUUGCAAAACCUGUAUGAUGUGGAUGACAAUAUUUUUUUCUCUUGGUCUCUUUCGUGUUGCAUAAUUUUUGUCUUUGCUAUUGCAAUAUUUUCUUGCUGUUUACACACUACAUGAUAAUUUUUAUCUUUGCUACUGCAAUAUCUUGUUGCUGUUUACACACUACAUGCUUGUUCAGUAUAGUACAGGAUAGAGUGAGCUGUUUUUCUUCUCACUGAUACAUAUGAUUUGUUCAGCAUAGUACAUGGGAGUCUGAGAUGUUUAUGCACUACAUGUUUGUUCAGUUCAGUACAACGUCUCUUUUGAAUAUCUACAGUUUGAAUGGACUUCUAAUUUUGAAAUAUUUGACAGGCAUUGCUGACAAGGCUGAGAAGGAGAUGCUGAAAAAACGUUGUGCUGCAAGCUUAAGUUGGUCUGUAUAGUGCUUUUUGGCUCUGUAAUACUGUCAUCUAAUGGCAGUAUCUGGAGUUUUAUUUUGUUUGCGUUGAUAGGCCAAUGACUGCUGAUCCCUGCUGUGAUCCGUAACCGCGUCAGUGUGUUAACGAAAUCGUUGUGGUUGUAAUCCUUCUUGUAUGCCUAACAAUAUAUUAUCUCUGUACCAGAUGUUGUGAGGAUGGCAUAUGUGUGUUGUCAAUUGGCUAUUCAAGUUCACAAAUUAUUCCUGAAAUUCAUAUG
rnacentral:lncRNA from 1 species